rnacentral:lncRNA from 1 species
CCCAGGAGGGUAACCUUGACUAUAAGAAGCCCCUGUUGAGAUCGCUCGCUGUGAUUCUGCCCAUCAGAGACAAGUCCUUCACAAUGAAACCACAUCUGUCUCUUGAUGAAGCGUGGCAGCUAGCAGUUCCUCAGCCUUCCUGUGUCCCAGGAAUGGGCUAAGGUACUCUGCAGGCCAUGCAGGCCUGCUUAGAACAAGGUGACAAUAAGGUCAGAGUGGAAGCAGCUCACAACGCCUCCCUCUUCCAGGCAGCUGCCCUUGGGCCGUCAUCCAAGUUGGCAGCAAGAAACUUAACCCGGCCAAGUAAGAAAGUCAGGUGUGUGAGCACGCUCGACAAAGCCCGGCCGUCAUGGCCCAGUCUUCAGCAAAUGUUCCGAAGACUCAUGGCCUCCUGACCCAAUCUAUGUGGUGAACUCGGCAGAGCCGAGCCCAGAGGCAAGGCCACCACCCUCUCCUGCCUCCAGCCAAAUUCAGAGGUAUGCUGCCUUGUGUCAAGAAUGAGGCAAGGAUGAUGCUUCUGGAAACCAACCGAGGCAGAUGCUGGAGGUGGAAGAACUAAUUGAGGCAUUGGAUGGGGGCAGGGGACAGAAAAUGUGCCACUUGAGGAAGUGUCCCCUGAGCAACCGCUGGGCCUCAGACCUUUUUCUUUCUGUCUUACUCCAGAAAGCACGUUAGAGGGUUGGGCAGACACCAAUAUCUGACUGCCUGCUGGUCACUGAUCACAGACCCAGCAGGAAUCACAGAGAGGGGAGCUGGUGACAAAGGAUGGCUGGAAGUACACCACACAGAAAAGGGACAAUGUGAACGCUCUCAGUUAUGUUCCUAUCUUACAAACUAGACCUUGCUGCAAGAAAUCUCACAAGAUGGGGACAGUAUAUAAUGAUGAAAUGGUGAAAAUAGCAGAAAACAGCAAUUGCAACAUAAAUGAACCUAAAAUAGGCUCUCAAAAUACACGAUGUAAGAACUGGGCCUUCAUCUUCUUGUCCAUGGUCUAUGCUGCUGACGAAGACCAUGUCUAAGUCCAUGGUCCCACUGCACCUGGGAGCCAUGCUGUAUCAGUGGCUCACAUUAUCUCUAAAAGCCACACCACACAACCCAUGGUCUGUGUGCCACCUGAAGCCAUGUGGUCCUUGGCCUGUGCUGUCACUGAGGGUUAUAAUGGUGCCUGUGGCCUGUGCUAUCACUGAGGGCUGUGUUUAUGUCCGUGGUCUGUACUGCCACCAGAGACCAUGCUGAGGUCUGUGGCGCAUGCUGACACUGGAGACCACGUGGAUGUCUGCGGUCUGUGAUGUCACCAGAAACCAUUUGGAAGCCUGUGACCCGGGCUCCUGAUGACAAGGAAGGAAAAGGAAGCUUCUUUUGCUGUGCUGUCGAUGACUGCAGACUCACGGUUGAGAAAGAGGGACAAAGAAGUCUUCCAUAACAACCCCUACCUCCUCCACCCCUGCCCCACAGUAACAGCCUAGACAGAAAGCCAUUGAAGAGAACUCUUUAAAAUUGUGAUAGUGAUGCUGAAGCAUAGCUCUCCACAAUUGAUGGCUUCUGGAAGGGUUUUGGGUGGGAAGGACUCAGUUUUCUUUAAGGGGCUAGCCACUGGGAGUUUGGCCAUGCUCCAGUGAUUAUAUAGGCAACACAAAUUGGGCUGAUUCUUCUUCUUCUUCUCCCUCCUCCUCCUCC